rnacentral:rRNA from 1 species
UACGUAGGGGGCGAGCGUUGUUCGGAUUGACUGGGCGUAAAGGGCGUGUAGGCGGUUGGUCAAGUCCGAUGUGAAAGCCCGAGGCUUACCCUCGGAAGUGCAUCGGAAACUAGCCAGCUGGAGCGCGAUAGAGGAGGGUAGAAUUCCUGGUGUAGCGGUGAAAUGCGUAGAUAUCAGGAGGAACACCUGUGGUGUAGACAGCUUACUGGACCAUUUCUGACGCUGAGACACGAAAGCGUGGGUAGCAAACAGG